rnacentral:lncRNA from 1 species
CCUACUGUGCGCUGGGCCCCUUGGGUGUGUUGGACGCCUACUGUGCGCUGGGCCCCUCGGGUGUGUUGGACGCCUACUGUGCGCUGGGCCAUUUGGGUGUGUUGAGCACCUACUGUGUGCUGGACCCCUCGGGUGUGUUGAGUGCCUACUGUGUACUGGGCCCUUUGGGUGUGUUGGAUGCCUACUGUGCGCUGGACCCUUCAGGUGUUGGAAGAAGUGUAAGGCUCAGUCGUUGCCCUCCAAGAAAUGAAUGUUUAGUUGGGGAAACAAAGUCCACAGGAGGCAGAUGGAAGCAUGGCCCCGACCAGACGCCUUUCAUGUCCGAGGUUGGCCUUCAUGUGGCCACAGCCCCCCGUGUUCACCCAGGUGCGUCUAAUAGGCCGCCUUGGGUUUUAUGAGAUAACGGUCUGCACCUGAUAGCUGUGACUGGGAGGCGGCAACCCGGCCAGCCAGGUCAGUCUGUCUGUAGCGAAAAGCCAAGGAAUGAGGUAAUACCUGGACGCACGCACUGUGGUCAAAGUCAAAUCCCCCAGGGCUUUCUGGAAGAACUGAGAGUGUCUCUGGGCCUUUUCCUGCUUCCUGCACCCAGUAACCUAGAAGAUCACUGGCCAUCUUUGCCCGCAGCAGCCCCCUUUGCCCUGCAGGACGGAGGCUGUGACAUGGCUUCCCGUAGGACGCGCUGCGGCAUUCGUGAGUCAGGGCCAGUGCACCGAGCCACGGAGCACCCUCAGCUGCCAGCUCCGCCCUGGGGCUCACCUGGCCCUGCACAGAGUCUGCGAAGUGUCUGCCCUGGGGCUCCAGCCCCCACAGGUACAGCCAGGCCCCUGGUGGUGGGAGUCGGGAGGCCAGGCCUGGGCUGAGUCCGAAGCUGAGGCCUCCUCCCUCUGAGGCCUCCUCCCUCUGCUUGUUACCUGGGCCCGGCUUGGCUGCCUUGCUUUUAAAAACAUUUUCUUUGAAACAAAGAGUCUAUUUAUUACAUUUUAUUAACGGGGCGUGGGCCCGUGCCGGAGCAUCAGGUGGGCUCGGAGUCAGGUGGGCCCGGGCUGGGUCCAGCCCUUGCUUUAUAACCCGCGGGACCUGGGGCCGCCCUCGCCUCUCCGAAUCCCGGUUCCUUAUCUGUUUAAUGGGAGCGGAAUUCCCACCCGGCCGGGUUGUUGUGGGGCACAGGCGAGAUAACGUGCCAUAAAGUGCCCGUCAGGGGCUUGGCACGCAGCUGUGGGGCAGCCUGAGAGCGGCCUUGGUGGCACCGCUGGGGUAGGCGGCCCGUCUGCAGCGCGGGGCCGGCCGCGUCGUUCGCCUCUGCAGCCAGCCUGGGGCCCGGGGCCUCGGCACAGUGGACGAUCGCCGGGCGUCUGGCCACGGCGGAUUGGAGCCUCGGUCAGCCCGCGUCUAAGGGCAUGAGUGCCGUGAUCCGUUCCCCGGGCCUGGCACGCAGGGUUAAGGAGCCACCGCACACAACGUGUCCCUUCACAGCCUCUGGGAGGACGCAGUCGCGGCCAGACCCAGUGCCUGCAGGAGGAGCGGGUGUUGCCACAGGAAUCCGAGAAGAGGGAAGGGAUCUCGGCCGGGGGCUCCCUGAGGCGGGGGUGACUCCGGGCUCACGGUGCACGGGGCCUGUGGAUACUGAAACAGCACCCAGGUGAUUAAAGCCACAUCGUGUCCCUGAGCAGCCAGCCAGUGAGAUUCAGGAGCAGCUAACCUGGACCACAGCAGGCGUGGGAGGGUGUGUUCCAGCCACAGACGCGGGGCACCCUGUGGGACAUUAGGAGACGCUGCUGGUCACCAGACGCCGUGGUCCAGGCGGGGCUCUGUGCUGCGGCCCCGGGAGGGCUUGUCCACCCCCGAUGGCUGCUGGCGCUCUAAAGCGUUCUCCUCUCUCCACCCUCCUGGUGAAGUGCAGGGUGCCCGCUGCCGGGGAGACACCAGGCCUCCGUGGCCGGUGCGCAGACCACAUCAAGGUCAGGUGGACCCCUGGAGAAGUGGGGUCACUGGGGACAACUGUUCUGAGCACCCACAGAAUAGGCUGUUGAGGGCUAUGAUUCGAUAAGCCCUGGUGGGCCCGGCAGCCCCCUCUGUUGCUGCCGACUGUGGGGAUCUUUUUUAAAAUUUUUGUGAGACAGUCUUACUCUGUUGCCAGGCUGGAGUGCAGUGGUGCGAUCUCGGCUCACUGCAACCCUCACCUCCCGGGUUCAAGCGAUUCUUCUGCCUCAGCCUCCCAAGUACCUGGGAUUACAGGCGCCCGCC